UACGUAGGGUGCAAGCGUUGUCCGGAAUUAUUGGGCGUAAAGAGCUCGUAGGCGGUCUGUCGCGUUCUGCUGUGAAAACUCAGGGCUUAACCCUGAGCUUGCAGUGGGUACGGGCAGACUAGAGUGCGGUAGGGGAGACUGGAAUUCCUGGUGUAGCGGUGAAAUGCGCAGAUAUCAAGGAGGGAACACCCGGUGGCGAAGGCGGGAUCCUGGGCCAGUACUGACGCUGAGGAGCGAAAGCGUGGGGAGCAAACAGG
rnacentral:rRNA from 1 species